rnacentral:rRNA from 1 species
GACGAACCGUGCGAACGUUGUUCGGAUUCACUGGGCUUAAAGGGCGCGUAGGCGGUCGACCAAGUCUGGGGUGAAAUCUUUCGGCUUAACCGGAAAAGUGCCCCCGAUACUGGCCGGCUAGAGGGAGAUAGGGGCAUGUGGAACUUCCGGUGGAGCGGUGAAAUGCGCAGAUAUCAGGAAGAACACCCGUGGCGAAGGCGGCUCUCUGGGACGGUACUGACGCUGAGACGCGAAAGCGUGGGGAGCGAACAGG